GCACUCGUGGUGCAGUGGUUAGCAUACCACCUUCCCAUUUGAUACCAUUCAUUGAGUGGUUGAGGAAGAAGGUGGGGGUCGCGAGUUCGAGCCUCGCCGGGUGCA